UACAGAGGGGGCAAGCGUUGUUCGGAAUUACUGGGCGUAAAGAGCUCGUAGGCGGUUUGUCGCGUCUGCUGUGAAAACUCGGGGCUUAACUCCGGGCCUGCAGUGGGUACGGGCAGACUAGAGUGCGGUAGGGGAGACUGGAAUUCCUGGUGUAGCGGUGAAAUGCGCAGAUAUCAGGAGGAACACCGGUGGCGAAGGCGGGUUGCUGGGCUGACACUGACGCUGAAGUGCGAAAGCUAGGGGAGCGAACGGG
rnacentral:rRNA from 1 species